rnacentral:rRNA from 1 species
GGCGGACGGGUGAGUAAUGCACAGGUAACGUGCCCCUUAGUCUGGGAUAGCCACUGGAAACGGUGAAUAACACCGGAUACUCCUUCUCACUUAAUGUGAGUCGGGAAAGUUUUUCGCUAAGGGAUCGGCCUAUGUCCUAUCAGGUAGUUGGUGAGGUAAGAGCUCACCAAGCCUAUGACGGGUAGCGGGUCUGAGAGGAUGAUCCGCCACACUGGUACUGAGACACGGACCAGACUCCUACGGGAGGCAGCAGUGGGGAAUAUUGCACAAUGGACGAAAGUCUGAUGCAGCAACGCCGCGUGGAGGAUGACACAUUUCGGUGCGUAAACUCCUUUUAUAUGAGAAGAUAAUGACGGUAUCAUAUGAAUAAGCACCGGCUAACUCCGUGCCAGCAGCCGCGGUAAUACGGAGGGUGCAAGCGUUAUUCGGAAUCACUGGGCGUAAAGGGUGCGUAGGCGGUUUGGAAAGUCAGAUGUGAAAUCCUACAGCUUAACUGUAGAACUGCAUUUGAAACUUCCAGACUAGAAUACUGAAGGGGCAGAUGGAAUUAGUGGUGUAGGGGUAAAAUCCGUAGAUAUCACUAGGAAUACCGAAAGCGAAAGCGAUCUGCUGGGAAGUUAUUGACGCUGAGGCACGAAAGCGUGGGGAGCAAACGGGAUUAGAUACCCCGGUAGUCCACGCCCUAAACGAUGAAUGCUAGUCGUCGGAAAGCUCGUCUUUUCGGUGAUGCAGU